GAUGAACGCUGGCGGCGUGCCUAAUACAUGCAAGUCGAGCGAACGGACGAGAAGCUUGCUUCUCUGAUGUUAGCGGCGGACGGGUGAGUAAAACGUGGAUAACCUACCUAUAAGACUGGGAUAACUUCGGGAAACCGGAGCUAAUACCGGAUAAUAUUUUGAACCGCAUGGUUCAAAAGUGAAAGACGGUCUUGCUGUCACUUAUAGAUGGAUCCGCGCUGCAUUAGCUAGUUGGUAAGGUAACGGCUUACCAAGGCAACGAUGCAUAGCCGACCUGAGAGGGUGAUCGGCCACACUGGAACUGAGACACGGUCCAGACUCCUACGGGAGGCAGCAGUAGGGAAUCUUCCGCAAUGGGCGAAAGCCUGACGGAGCAACGCCGCGUGAGUGAUGAAGGUCUUCGGAUCGUAAAACUCUGUUAUUAGGGAAGAACAUAUGUGUAAGUAACUGUGCACAUCUUGACGGUACCUAAUCAGAAAGCCACGGCUAACUACGUG
rnacentral:rRNA from 1 species